rnacentral:rRNA from 1 species
UACAGAGGGGGCAAGCGUUGUUCGGAAUUACUGGGCGUAAAGGGCGCGUAGGCGGCCUGCUAAGUCGAACGUGAAAUCCCCGGGCUCAACCCGGGAACUGCGUCCGAUACUGGCAGGCUUGGAUCCGGGAGAGGGAUGUGGAAUUCCAGGUGUAGCGGUGAAAUGCGUAGAUAUCUGGAGGAACACCGGUGGCGAAGGCGGCAUCCUGGACCGGUAUUGACGCUGAUGCGCGAAAGCCAGGGGAGCAAACGGG